GAAAUGCGAUAAGUAAUGUGAAUUGCAGAGUUCAGUGAAUCAUCGAAUCUUUGAACGCACAUUGCGCCCCCUGGCACUCCGGGGGGCAUGCCUGCCUGAGCGCCAUCGCACCUCACCUCGGGACCUGUUCCCGGUGUUGGGGCCGGCCUACGCAUCCGCGUUGGCCGCCCCGAAGUCGAUCGGACCGCGCCCGGUAUGGCGGCAGGAACGUGGUUGAUGUCCCAAGUUGGCAGCUCACGUCCCGGUCGCGCAACCGAAAAGCUUGUCCGGACGGCAUCGCCGUCAGCACCGUGUGGGAGGGGUCCAGCACCCCGACCGGCGAAUCAGCACUUGGCCUCAGGUCAGGCAGGGAUACCCGCUGAACUUAA
rnacentral:misc_RNA from 1 species